AUGAAUACUUCAAGUAUUAUUAGUAAAUUUAUUUUUCUGAAUUUAUAUUAUGAUGAGUUUCUUGCAAAAAGAAAAAAAAUAUAUGAUCAAUUGUUGCACUUAAGGUUUGCACCUACCCCCAAAAAUGCUAAGGAGUGGGUAGGUGACAACACUAUAUCAGAUGAAGCAAAAGAAGGAGAGAGAGAGAGAGAGAGAGAGAGAGAGAAACGCAGAGGGAGGGAGGCAGGGAGACCAAACCCCCGCUUUACUGCGUUGAAAGCUCCUGAAUUUCAAGCAGAAAGUAGAAGGAGCAUCACACGGCAAUGGGCGUCUUUCCUUGGGCUGCGUGUGCAGAGCGUAGACAAUGAAAAUCUCCAUCCCCCUCCCCCAUCCCCGCUAGACUACAAGAUUUUUCUUUUCGUUCCUUAUCAACGGUGGAAGAUGUGCAAAAUCAAAUACACAGAGCUGUGCAUUUAUUUUUAAAAUAAAUAAAGCAAACGGGCUGAGACGCGGAUUACCCAAACGCGCACCGGCUGGGCGCGUUGCGGGGUCUCUGCGUUAGACCGGUUCUCAGCGGUUUCUGCAGCCACAGCCUGGCUCUACGCCUCCCCCCGGGCCGCGGGGGCGGAGAAUCCUCCCUUCCUCGGACACUGGAGCCGGAGCGGACCUUGCCCUCCCGCGGACCGCGCGGUAGGGGACGCCGAGAAAAGAGCCCCUGCGCCCGCUGCCUCCGGCCCGCCGCGCAGAGGGCUCCGCCCGUAGAGGUCAACUCCCCUCACCCUUUCGGCUCUCCUGAUCGCCCUCCCUCCGCCCGGCCCAGGCUCCGCCAGCCUCCCGACUCGGGCCGCAGUCUGAGGAGUGCGCCUCCGCUGCGCUGCUCUGAACCUUAACCCCGAGCCGGGCCCAGACCCGAGGUCCGCGCACCCCGGCGGUGGGGAAGCCUUAGCGAGCAGCCUUUUCUCUGCAGCAAAGCUGUAGGAAGACCAGAUGGGCCGCGCAGCUCUCUCGGGACUAGGCAG
rnacentral:lncRNA from 1 species